UGCAGAUGAAGUUCGUUUGGAGUAUUCAGGUUUUGUUGUGAUAUUAGUCAGUUUGACUUCCAGCCCCAGCCAUGUUGUUCAUCUGGUCAAUUAUUACGUUCUCAGUAAUAGGAGGCAGUUAUGAGCAAACUAUAGAGCCAAACCAACAUGAAGUGUAUGCAGAAGUGGGUAGUAAUGUUCUUCUUUCCUGCAACUAUUCCUCAGCCUACAGUCUACUAUGGUAUAAACAGUCUCCAGGAUCAGCUCCCCAGUACCUUCUGCUCAUCCCGCACUCCACUGGGACUGAACAUAGAGCUGAUUCUCUUGACUCUCGCUUCUCUGGUAAACUGAACAAAGUGAAGACCCGUGUUGAUCUGGAGAUCUCCUCUGCUGAAGUGACAGACUCUGCUCUGUACUACUGUGCCCUGACGCCCACAGUGACAGGAAACCCAGAAACACUGUAAGAAAACCUAAAACAUCUGAUUAAGGGGAGAAAGUUAUCAACAGGAAGAUGAAUGAAUAUGUGCAAAACACUUACCCCCUCUAUUCUACCCAUAACCCUAACCCUAAAUUCAU